UACGGAGGGAGCUAGCGUUGUUCGGAAAUACUGGGCGUAAAGCGCACGUAGGCGGCGCAGCAAGUCAGGGGUGAAAUCCCGGGGCUCAACCCCGGAACUGCCCUUGAAACUGCAGUGCUAGAAUCUUGGAGAGGCGAGUGGAAUUCCGAGUGUAGAGGUGAAAUUCGUAGAUAUUCGGAAGAACACCAGUGGCGAAGGCGACUUACUGGACGACUGUUGACGCUGAGGUGCGAAAGCGUGGGGAGCAAACAGG
rnacentral:rRNA from 1 species